ensembl:lncRNA
AGGGAUGCUAAAACUCUAAGGAAUGAUGCCUGUUGACAUCUCUCCCAGGGACAGGGGAUCCCAGUGGGCCUGACUUGAGAUGGGACAAUGCCAUAGCAAGAUAUCUGUGUUCUCAGAAUCUGACACCCCAGAGAGAAGCAGCAUGGCCUCUGGAAGUUUAGAAUCAGAUACACAAGAAAACAAAACAUCGCUUUCAGUCUCUGAAGGAACAAAAUCAAAACCGCUUGAACAAGUAUCCCGGCUGGAGGAAAAACUGGAGCUGUGA